rnacentral:rRNA from 1 species
UUGAUCCUGCGGAAGAUUGCUGCUAUCAGGAUUCGACUAAGCCAUGCAAGUCAGAGGGCUUCUUCGGAAGCACAGGCAUACUGCUCAGUAACACGUAGUUAACAUAACCUAUGGUCGGGGAUAACCUUGGGAAACUAAGGGUAAAACCUGAUAGGUAAUAUUCUCUGGAAUGAAAUAUUACUCAAACUCGCGCCAUAGGAUUGGACUGCGGCUGAUUAGGUCGUUGGCGGUGUAAUGGACCACCAAGCCCACAAUCAGUAAGGGUCUUGAGAGAGAUAACCCUGAGAAGGACACUGAGAUACUGGUCCUAGCCCUACGGGGUGCAGCAGGCGCGGAACCUUUACAAUGCACGCAAGUGUGAUAAGGGGAUCCUAAGUGCUUUACUUUUAGUAAGGCUUUUGUCAAGAGUAAAUAUCUUGAUGAAUAAGUGAUGGGCAAGACUGGUGCCAGCAGCCGCGGUAACACCAGCGUCACAAGUAGCAAUCAGAUUUAUUUGGUCUAAAGCGUUCGUAGCCGGUUUUGUAAGUCUUUUGUGAAAUCGUUGCGCUUAACGUAACGGCGUGCAAAAGAUACUGCAUAACUUGGAGCCGGGAAGAGUUAGAGGAAUUCUAAGGGGAGCGGUAAAAUGCUAUAAUCCUUGGAAGACCACCUGUGGCGAAGGCGUCUAACUGGAACGGGUUCGACGGUGAGGAACGAAAGCUAGGGGAGCGAUCCGGAUUAGAUACCCGAGUAGUCCUAGCUGUAAACGCUGCGAGCAAGGUGUUGCAUAUUCUUCGUGAAUGUGCAGUGUCGAAAUGAAGAUGUUAAGCUCGCCACCUGGGAAGUAUGGUCGCAAGGCUGAAACUUAAAGGAAUUGGCGGGGGAGCACUACAAGUGGUGCGGCGUGCGGUUUAAUCUAAUUCAACGCAGAGAAUCUCACCAGAAGCGACGGCAGGAUGAAAGUCAGAUUAAAGGUUUUACUUGACGAGCCGAGAGGUAGUGCAUGGCCGCCGUCAGCUCGUGCCGUAAGGUGUCCUGUUAAGUCAGGCAACGAGCGAGACCUGUGCCUAUAAUUGCUAACGAUUUCUUUUGAAAGAUCGAGCACAUUAUAGGAACUGCCUUGGAAACAAGGAGGAAGGUUCAGGCUACGGUAGGUCUGUAUGCUCCGAAUCUUCUGGGCUACACGCGCGCAACAAUGGUAAGGACAAUGUGAUGCAACUCUGAAAAGAGAAGCUAAUCCUCGAAACCUUAUCUUAGUUUAGAUUGAGGAUUGUAACUCAUCCUCAUGACACUGGAAUCCCUAGUAAUCAGACGUUAUCAUCGUUUGGUGAAUAUGUCCCUGCUCCUUGCACACACCGCCCGUCAAACCACUCGAGCAGGGUUUAGAUGAGAAUUAGCUUUAAGUUGAUUCGAAUCUAAGCUCAGUGAGAUGGGUUAAGUCGUCACAAGGUA